AACGCAAAGCAAAAGCGAGCACUCAGGGAGCGGCAGCAGUGGGAAGCUGUUCCCUCCCGGCUCAGCUUAUCCAGCGCCAGGUGACGGUGCAGAGGAGCUGGGCUGGCAUGUGCGGCCCAGGGCUUGGCCUUCUUCCGACUCUCACCAGGGAUCUGCUACUUGCCCCCCAGGUGCUGCCCCCACACCUUCCCGACAUGGUCCAGGCAAAAGAAAGGCUCUCUGAGCAGCAUGUCCGCCUGGGGACGUCCGGGACAGCAGCACAGAAGCAGGGCCUCCACUGACGACUCGAAUGAGAUGCAAACACAUGGACAAGUCUUAAGGACAAAGGGUUCCUGCUCCUACGAACGAUGACCACCGCAGGCUACGCUCAGUGCCGUCCCACCCUGCGGGACACACUGUACAGGCUGGGUCUCCGCUCCUGCUCUCUCCUCUGAUCGCUCUCCCACCACACUGCCUCUUAGAGUCUCAGCCAACCUGUGAGGCCCAGUGCCAAUGCGUGAUCUGUGAAGCUCUCUCAGAGCCACCGCCCCCAGUCUGAAUUAACCAAUAUCUUCCCUACA